GACGAACGCUGGCGGCGUGCCUAAUACAUGCAAGUAGAACGCUGAAGCUUGGUGCUUGCACCGAGCGGAUGAGUUGCGAACGGGUGAGUAACGCGUAGGUAACCUGCCUGGUAGCGGGGGAUAACUAUUGGAAACGAUAGCUAAUACCGCAUAACAGUAGAUAUCGCAUGAUAUGUGCUUGAAAGGUGCAAUUGCACCACUACCAGAUGGACCUGCGUUGUAUUAGCUAGUUGGUGAGGUAACGGCUCACCAAGGCAACGAUACAUAGCCGACCUGAGAGGGUGAUCGGCCACACUGGGACUGAGACACGGCCCAGACUCCUACGGGAGGCAGCAGUAGGGAAUCUUCGGCAAUGGACGGAAGUCUGACCGAGCAACGCCGCGUGAGUGAAGAAGGUUUUCGGAUCGUAAAGCUCUGUUGUAAGAGAAGAACGAGUGUGAGAGUGGAAAGUUCGC
rnacentral:rRNA from 1 species